AAGUGAGGACUAAUAAUCAGGAUGGAAAUGAUCAUUUGGUGCCUUAUGCUGGAGUUAGUCACUAAGCAGUAAUGCAUACUUCCCUGUGUGUCUGCGUGUUUUUUAAGCCCAGUGUUUUACUCUUUUUCCUCCUGCCUGCUCUGGAAGGGGCGGGUCCUCCGUGAUGACGGCUGAGUGUGUCACAGCGCUGAUUGGCUGACUCGCUCGCUAACUUGUUGCUGUGAGUUUGUGCUGCUGGUGUUGACCGCGGCUCAGUCCGGCGUCUCGGAUUCACUGUUUUUAACGGGUUUAUUGACACCAGCGGCAGCAGCCAUGAGGACUUUAUUUACCUGCAGUGCUUCGGGAAAGACGCGCUGCCGUCUUCGCUAGCUAAUCAUGAUGGCCGCGACGGAACCGGAGAAACCAGUGUGCAGGAAAAGUCCCGAGAGCUGGAAACGACACAUCAUACGACAGCUGAAGAGUCGGGAUAAGGCGCAGAAGAUCCUCUUCCAGGAUGUGAUUCGGUCCUAUGUGAACCUGUUGGAGCGGUGUACACAGAAAGCCUUCAUCACCAAAGGUAUCCUCUCAGCGACCAGGCCCCUUCUGCUUCCUUCCUCUGAAGAUUCACUGAAGACAGCCACUGGCGAGCUUGCUUACCAAGUUGUGGAGCUGAGGCAGGAGAUUAAAAUCAAGGAAGCUAUUCUUGACGAGCAACAUGCCAGGCUAAAUGAGCUGCAGGAUGGUCUUAAGGCAGGGCAGGUGGAGCACAGCACCCUGCAGACAUGUGUGUUGGAAGUGCAGGAGAGGAACCAGCUGCUGAAGAGAGAUUACGACGCCCUGCUGGAGUGCUGUCAGCACAUGGAUGCAGUUUACCGCAAGGAGAAGCUCCAUGGCUCUGAACUGGUCGAGGACAUGGUCCGUUGGAAACAGCAGGCUGCUGCCCGCAUGAACUCGCGCAACGAGAGGAGAGUCAGGGCCAGAGAGGCGGGGCGUCAUAAGGAACUCGAAGUGGCGGCCAGUAAGAAGCUUAACAUUGAAGAAAUUCCCCAAAGUGCUUCUUUACCCUCAUCACCUUUGUCUCCGAGGAGUGAGACUGGAGAGAAGGUAGAAAGAAGCCAUGGACGACUUUUCAGGUCUGCUUCAGCUACCUCACCUAGAAUUCUCGGCUCCAUCCGAGAUCUGUUCGAUAAGAAAAGACGAGGGAAUUCUGUGUGUAGUUUGGAAGAGGACCUGUUUACACCUCUAGGAAUUUGUCUAGCUGCUAGAGUUCCAGCCAAAGCUAUUUAUUCACUGGACGCUCAUGAGCAGGGAAUUAAUGCAGUGAGAUUCAGUCCCAGAUCAAACCUGCUGGCUACUGGAGGCACAGACAGAGUCAUCAAACUGUGGGACAUCAAAGCAGGAAUGCUACACAACAGAGGGACACUAGAUGGGAGUAAUGAGGGAAUCACCAGCAUCGAGUUUGACUCCACGGGAACCCGAAUUUUAGCUGCGUCAUACGACAAGUCAGCUCUGUUUUGGCGGUUGGACGACUGUGUUCCCAAGUUUACGCUGACGGGUCAUUCUCGCAAAGUGACAGCAGCCAGGUUUAAGUGCAACCUCAGGCAGGUGGUGACUGGAAGCGCUGAUAGAACAGUGAAGAUCUGGGAUCUGCAGCGGACUGCCUGCAUACAAACCAUUGAGGUGUUGUCUUACUGCAGUGAUGUGGUGUGUUCUGAAUAUUACAUCAUCAGUGGACAUUAUGACAGAAAAAUCCGUUUCUGGGACAGCAGGGCAGCCAGCUGUACACAGGAGGUGCCCUUACAGGGCAAAGUGACAUCCCUGGACAUCUCACCCAACCACAGGGAGCUGUUAAGCUGCUCAAGAGAUGAGAGCCUUCAGUUGGUUGACCUGAGGAUGAGCAACACCAGAAUGGCCUUUAGGGCAGAGGGCUUCAAAUGUGGAAGUGACAGCACCAAGGCCAUUUUCAGAUGGAAGUUACCUGGUGGCAGGCUCUGCUGAUGGUGCUGUGUACGUCUGGAACGUUAGCACAGGCAAGCUGGAAACUCGACUCUCAGAUAAACACAGAUGCUCAGUUAAUGCAGUGGCAUGGUCAAUGUCAGGCGAGUACGUGGUGAGUGUAGAUAAGAGCCGGCGAGCCAUUCUCUGGAGCAACAUCUGAACCUGGAGAUACAUGGCUGUGCUCCUGUUGCUGAAAAAACCCACCAGACUCUGUAAUGUCCAGUCAUCCAUACUCAGCAUCUGAAGAACAGCCCAGCAUGUUCAAUUCACAAACUCCUACUGCUGAACUUCACUGUUUUUCACUGCCAAUAAACCCCAAAACACCCACAGCCAGCAUGCUAAAAUAAGCUGGUCUGGCUUCAUACAGCAGUUUGGAUCUGUUGGAUACCUCUAUGUUCAUUUGUUUGAAUAUUACUGACAGUAUGCAUAAGAAAAGCAUUUCUUAGAUGACAUUUAGAGUACCUAUAAAGCAAAGCAAGAGUGUUACCAAAAUACCACUCAUACAAUCAAAUCACAUGGUUUAAAGAUGCAAAAACUGAAGUGACCUUGUUUUGACAUAUUUGUUUCGUAUGCUAUUUUAAUGAAUGUUUCUGUAUUUAUAAUAUAUUUGAUCUGUAGGCAGUGAUUUUGAAACCACUCAGAGGGCUUCAGGUGGACUUUUUCUAGCCAGAUACUUUUACAUACUCAUUUGUUAGAUAGACUCAUUUGUUAAAGAUAUCCUGUGGCGUUUUCUUAAAGGUAAAGCUCAGAUUUGUUUACACUGUAAAUUUUCCACCAGUGGACUGUGUUGUUGUUGGUGUCUAAACUGAAAGGUGAAUAAAAUUUCUUGCCGUAAUACACAA